rnacentral:pre_miRNA from 1 species
CAGGGGGCAGGGGGUCCCUCAGCCCAGAUUGUGGGAGGGUGCAGGCCAGGCUGAGGGACCCCACUAGUGCACA